AACUUUCAACAACGGAUCUCUUGGUUCUGGCAUCGAUGAAGAACGCAGCGAAAUGCGAUAAGUAAUGUGAAUUGCAGAAUUCAGUGAAUCAUCGA
rnacentral:rRNA from 1 species